UUUAAAUGUAAAUUUAUAUACUAAAUUAGUAAUAGUUAUGUUCUUUAAAUUUAAAGAUUUUGGCGGUAUUUUAGUCUAUUCAGAGGAACCUGUUCUAUAAUUGAUAAUCCACGAUUAACUAUACUUGAUUUAAAAAUUUGUAUAUCGUCGUUUAUAAAUAAUUUUAAAAGAAUUGAAAUUUUUAAGAUUUUAAAUUAAAAAAUAUAUCAGAUCAAGGUGCAGUUUAUAUUUAAGAAGUAAUGGGUUACAAUAAAUUUAUUUAUAUGGAUUUUUAUAUUAAAUUAUAUAAUAAAAGUGGAUUUGAUUGUAAUAAUAUUUAGUUAAAUUUUAUGAUUUUAGCUCUAAAAUAUGU
rnacentral:rRNA from 1 species